rnacentral:tRNA from 1 species
UGGGAUUUAAUUCAGUGGUAGAAGCUAUGUCUUAUAAACAGAGUAUCGCAGGUUCGAUUCCUGCAAUCCCAA